CCCGCUGAACUUAAGCAUAUCAGUAAGCGGAGGAAAAGAAACUAACAAGGAUUCCCCCAGUAAUGGCGAACGAACAGGGAAGAGCUCAAAUUUAAAAUCUGGCUGGGUUACCAGUCCGAGUUGUAAUUUAUAGAAGCGUUUUCUAGCAAGUCUGUUGGCACAAGUUCCUUGGAACAGGACAUCAAAGAGGGUGAGAAUCCCGUGCUUGGCCUUUUAGACUUGCAAUAUGAUGCGUCUUCGACGAGUCGGGUUGCUUGGGAAUGCAGCUCAAAAUGGGUGGUAAAUUUCAUCUAAAGCUAAAUAUUGGCAAGAGACCGAUAGCGAACAAGUACCGUGAGGGAAAGAUGAAAAGAACUCUGAAAAGAGAGUUAAAUAGUACGUGAAAUUGUUAAAAGGGAAACGAUUGAAACCAGUAUUGAGAUUGCAAAUUCAGCUGUGAUUUAUAAAGAGUCGCAGUGUAUUUUUGCAAUUUCAAGUCAAUAUCAGUUUUGCCUGUUGGAAAAAGUAAAGAGGAAGGUGACCAUAGCUUUGGUUGUGGUUUUACAGACUCUUUAUCAUACAACGGGCCGAGACUGAGGCUUGCAAUACAUUUGGUCCAGUUGUUCUAUUUGGAGUUGUCUUGUGCUGACUGCUUGCAGGCUGUACACGAUGAAUCCUGAUAAGUUCAAUAAGACACACUAGUAUUUAGGAUAUUGACGAAAUGGUUUUAAACGACCCGUCUUGAAACACGG
rnacentral:rRNA from 1 species